rnacentral:rRNA from 1 species
UACGUAGGGUGCAAGCGUUAAUCGGAAUUACUGGGCGUAAAGCGUGCGCAGGCGGUUGUGUAAGACAGAUGUGAAAUCCCCGGGCUCAACCUGGGAACUGCAUUUGUGACUGCACAGCUGGAGUGCGGCAGAGGGGGAUGGAAUUCCGCGUGUAGCAGUGAAAUGCGUAGAGAUGUGGAGGAAUACCGAUGGCGAAGGCAGCCCCCCUGGGAUAACACUGACGCUCAUGCACGAAAGCGUGGGGAGCAAACAGG